ensembl:lncRNA
AUGUGGGAGCCCUGGGGGCGCCUGCCCUCCUCUCCACUUCCUCUUCAUCUAGCUUGGUGGGCAGCGCCAUCCUGCAGGGUCAGCUCAGGAGGAGGAAAGACAGAACUACGGGCAGAGCUUGGGGCUUGGCCUAAGGCAGGGGGUUGCUGUCUGGAGCCCCUUCACACCAACUGCCUGGCCACUCAAGGACAGCCUGGGCCACAGGCAUCCCAAUCCCCGCCAAGGAACAACCCCACCCCUCACGGAGUGCCCACCUGGGCUGACCCGCGUGAAGAAAGAUGGACACCUCCCUGCCCCCCACCUGGCCGGCUCAGGGCACAGGACUGCAGGGUCUCUGACCAAUGGUCCUACCUUCGAGACUCACAGACCAAAGCACGGCCCUGGCGCCCUCUCCAGACCAGAGGGGCAUCAGGCGAAGAGGAUGGGCCCCGGUCCCCGAGUCCUAGGGCCUUGCGGCUGGGGGCACCUAGCAGGGGCAGGUCUGCCCUCCCCGGGGCUCCGCAGGCAGCUCGGCCUGCCGGCAGGACCUCUAAGCGUCAAAGUGAGCCGUCCUGCGCACCCCCGCGGGGGACGGGCUCGCGGCCCCGCCCGCGCGCCCACCGGCGCCCCCGCUCUCCCGGUGGAGUUCGCGCAGGGAGACGGCGUGUGUGCUGGAGGCUCUGUCCGGGAGCCUCUGUCCGGGAGCCUCGGGGGGCGGGGCGUCCGCAUGCCCCCGCCCCUGCCCAGGGCCAGCCCGCGCGAGGUGACUCUAACCUGCCGCUCAGGUUCCUCCCCGCGCCCCGCCCCGGCCCCUACGCGCGUCCCUCCCUCCUUCCGAGCCAGGCACCGACAGACGGGCUGGCGGACGCGCGGACGAAGGGACCAGCGCACGGACGGCCAGGAGCGGGGCUGCGAGAAGAGCAGGUCACUCUUCUGGGAGCUGGAAUUUGAACUUGGAGCUGGUCCCUCCGCCCUCCCUGCCCUGCUGGGGCCUCCUCCCGGCCAGGCCUGACCCAGCACAAUAUGCGGUCCUCCCCAUGCACCCGGAAAAUGGCCACAGUGAAACCGAAGUGCAGCCCGCGGCCCUCAGGGCCAGUGCCCGCCCCACCCCAGCCAGCCGAGGCCCAUGCUCCCCACUCCCGCCCUGCAGGAGGCCCCCCACCCAGCUGCUCCCCAACCCAGAUGCCAGCGCCUAGAGUCACCUUCCUGGCCGGCCCUGAGCCCCUCACCCCUCCCCAGGGAGCCAGAGAACAACCCAGGUGUUCGCCCACAGGCCUGGGUUUCACCCAGGGGUGCGUGUGUGUGUGUGUGUAUUGGACACACGUGCCUAGCACCCUCAGCUCAGCCCGCCAGGAGUCCCACUAAACAAACACUCCGGUUCACCUACUGAGGUCAGAAGCAUUCCGGACAUUCUCCACGGAGAGAUGGACAGAGGAGUCUGGCCCAGUCCAGACCCUGGGGACGUGUAGGGGGGUGACUUGAAGCCCCCAGUCCCUCAACCCUCCUGGGAGCUUCUCUGUAGGUAGAACCUGGUCAAGCCAGAAAGUCCUAGGCAGUCCCUGCCCUGGGUGCCAGCACCCCCGGCUUGUGACCCGAGCCUGCAGACCCCUAACGCUGAAGCCACAGAGGGAUGGCGUCACCGGUGACAUCCGCUGGGAGCAAGUGUGGGCCCCAGGGUCCCCUCGGAGCACAGAACCCCACAGGCUCUGCUUGGCACCCAGCGGGCGGCUCCCUCCGGCUUCAGCCUGGGCUCUGUGUCCCCAGGCCCCUGCCUCCCUCCCCAGGCUCCCGCCUCGGCCUCUGCUCCUUCCUCCCUUGUCUGGCUCUCACCUGCCUCAGGGCCUUUAAACUUGCUCUUCCCUCUGCUUGGAAAGCGCCUGCUUCUCCUGAGGCCCCUGCAGAGCCCCGGGACAUCUUCCUCAAACCUCUACUCCAGACAGCCUUUGGGGGUGGGGCCCCCCUGCUGGCACACCCUGGGGGUCCCUGUGGAGGACCAAUGGUCUGAGGAGCGAUGGGGGUGCAGUGAACACCAGCUGGGACGUGGAGCAGGACUGGGCCUGGCGUGUCCAGAAGGCCGGGCUCUGCUCCCUGAGGACCACCUGCCCAGGCACCCUGGGGAAUCCGGCCAGGCCCUGUCCUGGGGGGUGGGGAGGAGGAGACCCAGGCCCCACAAGGGAGCAGCAGGGCCUCGGCCGGGUCCAGGUCUGGCCGAGGGGUCCGCCUGAUUCCCCUGUCCACUCAGGUGUGGGCCGGGCACCAAGCCCUGGGCUCUGGCCACACUGAG